rnacentral:rRNA from 1 species
GUAGUCUCGCACAGAUGCAUAUCAAUAAGCGGAGGAAAAGAAACUAACAAGGAUUCCCCUAGUAACGGCGAGUGAAGCGGGAAGAGCUCAAAUUUGAAAUCUUAAAGGGCUUCCCUUUACGAGUUGUAGUUUAAAGAAGUGUUUUCUGUUGAGGUUUUGGUAAAAGUUCUUUGGAAUAGGACAUCAUAGAGGGUGAGAAUCCCGUAUUUGACCUUUACUUUCAACUUUGUGAUACACUUUCAAAGAGUCGGAUUGUUUGGGAAUGCAGUCCGAAAUGGGUGGUAAAUUUCAUCUAAAGCUAAAUAUUGGCGAGAGACCGAUAGCGAACAAGUACCGUGAGGGAAAGAUGAAAAGAACUUUGAAAAGAGAGUUAAACAGUACGUGAAAUUGUCAUAAGGGAAGCGUUUGACACCAGUGUUGUUUUUCUGAAAAUCAAUUAAAGAACUGUUUAUGCUAAGUUGUUUAGACAUUUAUCAGCUAUCUGUUUAGUUUUGAGCUUUUCUUUAAUGCACUUUUCAGUUAACAAGUCAACAUCAAUUUCUUUUGCUGUAAAAAAGCUUGAGGAAGGUGGCUUGAGAUUCGUCUUAAGUGUUUAUAGCCUCUUGCCUAUGCAGUCGGAGAGAUUGAGGUCUGCAGCGUAGAUCCUUCGGGGCUAAAUGCAUUUGUGCUAAGUUAUAGCAUUUUAUAGACAACUUGUUGACUAUGAUUUGUCUUGUAGCUUACUCGCUUAUGUUAUUUUACCUACGCUUAGGAUGUUGAUCUGUAGUGCGUGCGC